rnacentral:sRNA from 1 species
GAGAUCUCUCUAAAUAGACCAUAUGAAUACAGUCCCUGAUCAUGGUGAACUAGGUCCUGUAGCUCAUCUAGAGCUGUUUGUGCUCUCAUUGUGUCAACAUGUCUAGAGCUUAAAAACUCUAACAUGUGUAACAGUACAUGGGGAGGAAUAGACAAGUAAAGCUUACUGUUUUGUUUACUAGAUUGUUGUUCUGGUAGCAGUUCACUGAUAUAACAUAUUUCAUUUUCAAGUUUGAUAUUCCCUGCUAUUGCCUGUCUGAUCUUUGUAGACCAGGACUGUCCCCCUACAGCCUCAGUAUACCUCUCUCUGUCUACAUUAUCCCUAUACAUCAGAUAUGGCUGUGCUAACUUGACCUUUGUCAUCUCUAUAACAAAUAAAGCUUCCCUGUAUCUGAGUGUCUUGUAAUAAUACAUGGCAAUGUAAAACAUGUCAGAAACAAACCCAAACUUGGCUGCUAAUUUCAGCAUUUGACAGGAUAUUUUGUCUGCAAUAUACACCUGUUUGUUGACACCUGUGUUUGUGUACAUGUUGUGUAAUAUAAAAGCAGUACGCUGAAGGAUGGUGGCUGUAUGUUUCUGUAAACUUACAACUUGAUACUGUGACAGAGGAGAACCUAUCAACUGUUCUAUUGUGUGUAGGAUCUUCAUACAGUCCUGUAGGUCCUGUAGGUCUAAUGUCUGUAGUGAACCUGUACUACAUAUCUCACGAAAUAACCCUCCAUCAAACUCAACCUCAGAGAUCAGAGUGUGUUCAUCAGUACACACCGUGAGUCUGGGAUUACAGAGGACAUCAAUGAUAGAGGACCUGAUGAAGGGACUGUGUAGCAGCAAUGCUAUACCCUUCUCAUACAACCCAUACAGUCGCCUGAAUAAACUUGUUUGUGCUUGGCCAUGGAUUUUACUCAGAAACAUGUUGUUUUCUGGAAUGAAAAAAUUUGGACAGAUCCCCUCAUACACCCAUUUAAGGAGAAGUUUGAAGCAGACCCAAAAACCGACCAGGAGAUUUUGUGGACACCAGUGAGGUAGUGUGUUUUGUUGAAUGGCCCAGAAAACAGCUGUUUUCAUGUGAUAGGAACACAGUAGUUUAUCUUCAUCUCUUAAUCCAUUGUUAAUUAUUUCCUUUAAGAACAGUUUCAGCAUACCAUAAGUUAAGAUCUGUGUGUGAUUCAUUGAGUACACAAGUUUGUAUUCUGCCUGAGAGAAAGAAAUUCUCCAUUCUUUGUCUUCAUGGUUUCCUAGUUUGUGUCCUAUUGCUACAAAGUGACAUCCAUUUCUUACAAUGUCAUUGACAACAUGAGGUAGGGGCCAUGAGUGACAUCUGUUUAUCCAAGAGGCAGCAGAGGGGGGCCAAAAAUCACUGACAAAACAAUAAGCAUGAUCGUAUUCUAGUGGACCAUUUGUUCCACUGCUACAUGGUCCAUGUACUGUAUUAUCAGGAUCGAAUGUACAUGUAAUGUCUCUGUAUUUAGAACUUGAUAUAUAGAGUUCCCCAUUCAUUUCCACAAACGAUGACACCACUAUCUGUGCAGCUCUUUCCAAUGGUAACCAAAGUAACGUAAAUCCUGCUGGACUCUCAGAAUUGUCACAGAGAAUCAGUGUCUGUCUGUGUGUGUUGUAAAACUCAGACUGAGAGAAAUCCCAGAUCACUUGAAUGUUAGUUGGCCAGAUCAUAGUGUCUAUGUCUGAUCCAUUUAAUCUAAAUCCUUCUCUCCUACUUCCACUCGUCAUUAAUCUCCAUCCCACCCUAUCAAGUUGAUUACUCAACAGCUCCCUGAUAUCCACUAUAUCUCUCCUGGAGGCCACCUCUUGUGGAGUCCCUAUCCCUCGACACAUCCACACAUACACUGACUCAGACAUUUUCUGAACAGGAAUUUCUCCUCUAAAAUUGAAAGUACUUAAGAAUAUUAUUACUCGAUGCAUUUUUUACCCAAUUUGUAUACAUUAAGGACCAAUUGUAAUUAGGAAAUUGUGAACUUUAAAAUAAACUUACAUUUGU